AAAAAAAUCAAAACAGGGCUGGGCUUCGAGAGAGAGAAAACCAAGGAGAGUGAGAUCGAAACCCUAGAAUCCACCGCCACGGCCACGGCCACGGCCACCGCCAUUCAUUUAUGUCAUUGUUGCCGUUAUUGUCUCCUUCGUCGACAUGUCACUGCUGGAGUUAUGAAUGAAGGACAAGGUGAUCGUGGAGCCUCUCCUCUGCUUCUGCGUUGUCUUCCACGGCGGGUUCUUCCGCUGGUUCUGCUUUUGCUCCGGUGGCUUGAAGCACUCAGAGAGCAGUUUCGGCGCGGACGCGGUGGCACUGGUGGAGCAGUUCUGGAAGGCGAGCGAGCGGGAGUCUCUGGAAGCUUCAAUUGAAGAUGCUUUCGAAGCUAUCAGAUCUUGUGGAACUGAUUCUCAUGUCGUUCCAAGUUAUUGCGGUUGCUAUUUCUGCACCUCUUCUGUGGAUUUUGUGAACUGAAUUGCAGAGAAUGCAAGAAUUGCAACUCAAGGUUCUCACGAUUUCUAAAGUGAACGAUAACCAAACAAUCACACAACUGAUGCUCUCAUUACGGAUUCAGAAUCAGUAUCUGCUACAAUUAAUGAUAGCAAGAAAGUUUCACGCCAAGACAUUGAGCUUAAUUUGGUUGAUGCAAAAAAGAAAGGCAUUAAGGAUGAACUUCACGAGCUUAUCUCCGAGUGGCCCAAGGAAGUUAUUAAGUACAGGAAAGGAGAAGAUCAAAAGACACUAGCAUCGUCUUUAAAAUCCGAUAUCCUUGCCAUGGUUAGUCAACAGAACAUGGGACUUGAGGCAAGUCUACAUUUGGAAGACCUUAAGGGAUAAAUGCUUGUUCAAGGAUGAGCUUCAUACCGUGAUGAUUUUUCUGGGUCUUCUGUUAGGUCCUGAGUUCAAAGUUUCAGCAAUAGUCUCUUUUGUCUUUGUAUUUGUUUGCAAUUUCAUCUUUGGCUUUCUGCCUUAUGUCGACAACUUUGCAAGCAUUGGAGGUUUCGUAUCAAGGUUCCUUCUUGGAUCUGUGCUUCUACCCAGUAGAAAGCUUGAAGUUUCGUAUCAGGCAUUGAGACUCAUAAACAACCAUCAAGCUCUAACCAUUUGUAUCAAUCCAAAUAUUAAGGAUGUUUUAUCAAAAGCUGGAAUGGAAAAUUCAAAAGGAGUCCAUUAAACUCAUUGGCCUUUACAUGCAAACACCACAAAUUCAGAGUUCGUUGGCCUCAUGCACAAAGGUCUUGCUUCCAAUCAAAGAUGUUCCUGAUGGCAAUGAUCCAAUGUUAGGCCGCCAGAAAAUACAAGUGAGACAACUUGCUUGAGAGGGAAAAAAGUGCUGAGUAAAAAGGCUAAAUUGGGUCUAGUAGGUUUGGGUAUUGGCUUCUUAGUCAUCUUGAUAAUUGGGUUGCUCUUGCUCUUCCGAAUCUACAAGAGAAAACGUGGUUAUAAAUUCUUUUAGAAUGCUUAUGUAUGCAUUGGUUGAAAUGUGCUAUAAAACCGAAUAAGGCCAAGAAUGAGAAAGAUUAUGUUAUCCAGUAAUUUGGAAGAAAAAUCACAUCCUUAAAAAUAUAGUAAAUUCCAUCCUAAUAAAAAAUAAUGUGCUAUAAAAUUAUUUCUUAAACAUGAUUUCUCAUGCCUUCAAUCAUCAGAAAAUUAUAGAGAGAGGGAGUCAUCCAAAUCAUCAAAACUUUUCUUUUUAUAGAAUUCAGUGGUCGCAAUGCCAGGUGGAAAUGGAAUGCAAGCAGUGGCACUGAGGGUAAAUAGUAAGUGUUCUAUAAAGUUAAGAUCAAAGGAAUACAGGACACUCUCUUAGACAACACAGGAACACUCAUCUUUGGCAGCCUAAAUCACUCUAUGAGGUAUACAUUAAUGAUUAUGGCCUUGCGAAAAAGUAUAGGGAUCUUUAAACUCGUAGACACAUACCAUACAGGUUUAUUGAUUGAUGUGCCAGUGCAAGUGUAUUCUUUUACUAUAGAGGUUAAGCCUACUAAUUAAGCCUACUAAUCUCUUUGAUGCUCAGAGAUCAGCUGGUGAUAGCAAAGAAUAUCCGAGAAUAAAUAUUUAAGAUUUUUAUGUAAUUAGAUGAUAUUGAAAUAUUAAAGUUAUUUUAUUUUACUUUUUAAAGAAAAACAGUAAUAGUUAUGUAGAACAAUACCAUAUGCAAUUAUGUUUGGAAUUAUUGACAUUGAGAAUUUUUUUUAUAUAUAGAGUUAUGUCUUAUAUUGA